CUCCCCUCCCCUCAGCUGCUGCAAACACAAGGGCAGAGAUACACAACAGUUGCACCACUGCUUUGUCUUGACUGCUACUAGUUCAUCUACUCUCCCUCUCAAAGGUACACCAGCAGCAGGGGAGCGAGCCUGCGAGGUGACGGUGACUGAAGCCACGACCGUUGAACAGAGUGGCGUAGCUGAGCAAAGCGUGCAGGAGGAAUCUGAGCAGGUGGCAGUUGCAAUUCAACCUCCUGAAGGUGAUGGUCUCUGAGAAAAGUAGGAGAGGCGCUGGAUGGAUGAAUAGAGUCUGCCGAGAUUGGACCUCAACUGUAUUUUAGGAGGCAGAGGGAACUGCAGAUUUUAGUCAAUGUUAAAGCAUGUCACUUCCACGAAGUAUUCAACUGCCUUGCUGUUUCAUUCACAAAGCAAUAACAUCCCAAAUGCAUCAACUACAAACAAGCUGGCAUUUAUGAUUUUCUAUUUUAUAUGCAGAAGCCAUUCAUUAGAGUUGCAACAGGGUUUUGAUCUUUCUUGAUGUGAAAAUCUAAAGUUUGUAUGAAGGAAAAAUUCUUCUUAACAUACAGCCAAACUGUCUUUCUGUACAAAAUAAUGCUAUUCAGAAAACCUAUAUUUAGCCAGCUUUUAAAAAACAAAACAAAAAAGGAAUAAGAAUAAAACAGGAUUUCUGAAAAUUAAAAUGACAGUUGAGAAUGAUGAAAUACAUGUUUGUACAUUUAUUUAGAUGGUACAUAAUCCCUGUAAUAGAAUAUAUACUGCA